GACGGAGGGUGCAAGCGUUAUUCGGUAUCAUUGGGCGUAAAGGGCGUGUAGGCGGCCGGGUAAGUCAGGCGUGAAAGCCCAGGGCUCAACCCUGGAAGUGCGCUUGAAACUGAUCGGCUUGAGUCCGGGAGAGGGAAGCGGAAUUCCUGGUGUAGAGGUGAAAUUCGUAGAUAUCAGGAGGAACACCGGUGGCGAAGGCGGCUUCCUGGACCGAGACGGACGCUGAGACGCGAAAGCGUCGGGAGCAAACAGG
rnacentral:rRNA from 1 species